rnacentral:lncRNA from 1 species
UGCUGCUGUAGUUGCAUAGCGAAUUGUAUUUGUACCUGCUUAUGCCAAAUCAUUUUCACUAUUCUCAUUAUUGUUGGCAUAAUUGUUUUGGUACUCUGGCUUAUUUUCCGCCCCAACACCGUCAAAUUCUACGCCAAUGAUGCCUCUCUGACGGAAUUCAAUUACAAUAACAACACGCUGCACUACAACUUGGCGCUCAAUUUGACGAUCAGAAACCCUAACAGGCGAAUUGGAAUUUACUAUGAUCGGAUCGAGGCAAGGGCCUUAUAUGAAGGCCAGAGAUUUGAUAGCGUUCAACUGACACCGUUUUAUCAAGGCCAUAAAAGUACCAAUUCGUUGAGGGCGGAAUUCAGAGGGCAAAGGGUUGUUUUACUCGGAAAUAGAGAGAUUUCGAACUAUAAUGAGGACAGGAAUUCUGGUAUGUUUGAUAUUGAAGUAAUGCUUUACCUGCGCAUUAGGCUGAAAUUCGGAUUUGUGAAAUCGACAAGAGUGAAGCCGAAUAUCGAGUGCGAUUUGAGGAUUCCUCUACGUUCCAACGGC